AGUGGUUAAGACUCUGAGCUUCCAAUGGAGGGGGCAUGGGUUCAAUCCCUGGUUAGGGAACUAAGAUCCCACAUGCUGCAUGUCCAAUAAAUAAAUAAAACAUUAAAAAAAAAUAGGGUGGAUCAUAGAAAUACGACUGUUGUUCCUAAGGUUCCCUGUAGAUGGCGUUGCUUAACUUGGUCUUUAAACGGUUUAUAGACAGGAAGUUGUUAAAAUAAAAUAUGUUAAAUGGGUUCACACUUGCAUUUUGAAAGUGAAGUACAUUAGAUUUUAAAGAAUAAAACCUACCUGUUAUGAGUUGCUUUCAGAAUAUAAAGUGGUUGUCUUAGUUCGUUUGGGUUGGUAUCACAAAAUACCGUAGCCUAGGUAACUUACAAACGACAGAAAUUUAUUUCUCACAGUUCUGGGAGGCUGGGCAGUCCAAGAUCAGGAUGUCCAUAGGCAGCUGUCCUCACAGGACGGAAGGGACAAGGCACUCCCUGGGAUCUCUUUUACUGGGCACAAAUCCCAUUUAUAGAGAGCUUCACCCUCAUGACCUGCUCACCUCCCAAAUGCCCCACCUCCAAAUACCAUCACACUGGAGGAAUAGAUUUCAGUAUAUGAAUGGGUGGGGAGGGGCGUGGUGUAAGCAUCCAGACCGUAACAGUAGUGUAGGUGAAAUAGGGUUUUUUUUCCUUGUAAAUCUGUAUUUAUUUUGUUUAUUGCCCUUUGAUAUGCCUUUUGAAAUUUUGAAUGUUGUUCAUAUAGCUACAUAAAUUGCCAUUCAUAAAUCAUUUCUCUACUGUUGGUAUUUUCUAUGAGAGACAGAUAGUUCAAAGGCUAAAUUAGUUCAAGUUCUAAAAAUGAAAUUCACCUUGAAAGUACUUUUUAUAUAAUGCAUGAUUUUACAUCUGAGGUGCUUGAAGCUUCUAAUUAAUUUUAAUUAGUUUUCAAGCCAGUAUGCGUUCUUCACUAGAGUAAUAAGUAGCUUUUACAUCAAAAGACUGAAGCUCUGUCUUUGGUUGUAUCACAGUUCUGUAAGCUUAGGCUGCCUGUUUGACUUUCAGUUUUAAUUUUUCCUCAAGGAACAUCAGGAUUUGAAAGAGUUUUUGAUUCAGUGAUAAUAAACAUUUAAAAAAUAUAAUAUUCAGUUUUCAUAACAUAAAGAUCUUUAAGCCAUAUUUGAAUUAGAAAAAGUUUGUGGCAACAAAAUUUUACUGAAAAUUAAUCAAGUAAUGGGAAACUAAGUUUUCACUUUAAAUGAUUUGGGGUAGGAAAACAAAUUCUGAAACCAUUUUCACCAGUUAGGUGAAAGCUGUUACGUAUUUUGGGUCACGUCAAUUGUGAGAUACAUCUUAUGUAAUUCAUUAUUAAUAGCAAAUAGUUUUCAAAGAAUAAAUUUUAAACUGUGUUAGAACAGGUUAUAUCUAUGAUGAUUGUUUUCUCAUAACCAUCCUGAAAACUAUUAGCUCACAAGCCUUGAAGCCAGAUUACCUGGAUUUAAACCUCAGUUCUUCAUUUACUUAGCUGUAUGACUCUGUGUGCCUCAGUUUCCUCCUAUAUGAGGUAAAACCAUGAUGGAUUGCCUCAUAGUUUGACAUAGGGAGUAAGUCGAUUUAACACAUAAAAUACUCAGCAUACAGUAAGCCUUCGAUAAAUGUUGUGGUUAUAGCAGGCUUGGAAUUACUUUACAUGAGGGUCCUGGGGAAAUGUAAUAAUGCAAGUCUGUGUUGCGGUGUGAAAUCUGGGCAUCUUUUUGAGAGUAUUGGGCUUGUGAGCAUCACUACCCCAUCACAGUGGGAAUGACUCCUAGGUGGGAGGAGUCUGAGAACAGUGUUCCACAGUAAGUUGAACAGGUAAGCAAUUUUAGAAGAAGAAAAUGUGUGAAAAGAAAACCUUUGUUUGCUGUUCAUUUUUACGGUUCUAAAGCUAAGUGCCAUGAGCAUUAAGAGGCCAACAAAAACAGAUCCUCAUUUCCAAAUACCAGAGCUUGGGCUUGUUGGCUGAAGCUCCAGGAUCCCAGCAUCCUGAACCUUACCCAGUUCUUCCCUCUGUGGUUCUUCUCUAUGUUGAACUGAGACCAGAUAAGUGGCACCAGGUCAUUUUUCUGAAGUCUGGGGCUUGAUGUAUCUGCGUAAUUACUAUCAGAGCUUAGAUGUGUUCAUUCUAAAAGAACAAGGUGACUAUAAAAUACUCUGUAGCUCUUGCCUCCUGGGUAAACCAUCUUUUACCCUGUGAUCAGUAUAUAUGAUGAGAAUCAGGAGCUUCAUUUAACUUCAGGCUGAUUCUGUCUGUACCAGCAGACAAGAAUGAGAGUCAGAAGCGUGAACUGUAUCUACUUCUCCAUCAGCCAGUGUCCAAUAACACAGGUGCUUAACUGCAUUAUAUUAAACUUUCAAGCCUUUUUUGUUUUCAGUUGAUGGAAAAGAUUAUAGCUGGUCUUAAUUUUUAGAAACGUCUAUUAGCUAUGAUACACUAACUUACUUUGAUGAAGGGUAAAUUCACACUUUUUACUAUUCACAAGGUUAGAAACAAUGAUGUUUCUUCUUUGCAAAACAAAGUUAAGGCUUUUGAAAGAGCUGUUCUAGAUGCCAUCCUUAUGGGGUUAAAUGUUGAGUACUUAACAGAUUUCCUUCAUGUCAUUAGCUCUCAUGAAUCAUCACUGGCAGUCUGUUAAAACCCUUGACGGGUCAGUGCUUUUAAACACUCUUGAGUAAUUUUUUAAAAGUUAACUUUUAUUCUAAGUUUGUUAAUCCACUGAAGUCCAAGCAUUUAACAAUCAGAGGUCCAGAUUCAUUUGUUGGCUCAUUGGUGCUUUGAUAAAUCAUUGCUGGAGUUAUUGUGUAUAUAGUACAAACAAUCCCAUGUAUCUCCAUUCAUUACCUGACCUUGUUCUUUUAGGAAUGUGUCCUGAAAACUGGCUUGUCCUGCGAGCACAGUACAGUUGCACAUUGGGCCCAUCCCCGAACCAGGAUCUGGAGGCUCCCUGGGAGCACUCUGCUGAACUGACCUACUUCAGAUUUGGAGGUUCCCCCACGCCUUCUUCCCUUAGAACACCUCUUCCUGGCCUCCUGGCAACCACCUGCUGCCCUUGUUUCCACAGUCGAUCAUGGCUUUCGGUGCUUUUCUCUCUCAGGGAACAGUGUGAUACUCUUGGAGGUGGGGAGGUCCCGUUAGAUUGUGGUUCAUACAGGUUUUCAGCUCUGGAUCCAUAUGCCCGAUUGUUGAUUCUCAGAGAGACGACUGAACAAGUAUCAUUUCACCAUAUGGCCAACUUGUCAGGUUUACCAAAA